rnacentral:rRNA from 1 species
AUUGAACGCUGGCGGCAGGCCUAACACAUGCAAGUCGAACGAGUGGCGGACGGGUGAGUAAUGUCUGGGAAACUGCCUGAUGGAGGGGGAUAACUACUGGAAACGGUAGCUAAUACCGCAUACCAUCGGAUGUGCCCAGAUGGGAUUAUCUAGUAGGUGGGGUAAAGGCUCACCUAGGCGACGAUCCCUAGCUGUUCUGAGAGGAUGACCAGCCACACUGGAAAUAGGACACGGUCCAGACACCUACGUGAGGCAGCAGUGGAGAAUAUUGACCAAUGGGCGCAAGCCUGAUGUAGCCAUGCCGCGUGUAUGAAGAAUGCCGUCGGGUUGUAGAGUACUUUCAGCGGUGAGGCGUUACCCGCAGAAGAAGCACCGACUAACUCCGUGCCAGCAGCCGCGGUAAUUC